AGCUCCAAUAGUGUAUAUUAAAGCUGUUGUGGUCAAAAAGCUCGUAGUUGGAUCUCGGCAGUCUGAGGUUGGUGUACUUGCUAGUACUACUGCCCUAUAGACUGUAGUUUUGCCAGAGGUGCCUGGGUGCUCUUAAUUGAGUGUCCUGGUAUUCUGGCAGGUUUACUUUGAAAAAAUUAGAGUGCUCAAAGCAGGCUUUUACGCCUGAAUAUUUGUGCAUAGAAUAAUAGAAUAGGAAGUCAUUUCUAUUUUGUUAGUUUUCAGAAAUCAAGUUAAUGAUUAAUAGGGACAGUGAGGGGCAUUUGUAUUCAAACGACAGAGGUGAAAUUCUUGGACCGUUUGAAGACAAACUACUGUGAAAGCAUUUGCCAAGAAUGUUUUCA
rnacentral:rRNA from 1 species